AGAGUUUGAUCCUGGCUCAGAGCGAACGCUGGCGGCAGGCCUAACACAUGCAAGUCGAACGCCCGUAGCAAUACGGGAGCGGCAGACGGGUGAGUAACACGUGGGAACGUGCCCUUUGGUUCGGAAUAACUCAGGGAAACUUGAGCUAAUACCGGAUAAGUCCGUAAGGAGAAAGAUUUAUCGCCGAAGGAGCGGCCCGCGUCCGAUUAGCUAGUUGGUGGGGUAAUGGCCCACCAAGGCUACGAUCGGUAGCUGGUCUGAGAGGAUGACCAGCCACACUGGAACUGAGACACGGUCCAGACUCCUACGGGAGGCAGCAGUGGGGAAUCUUGGACAAUGGGCGCAAGCCUGAUCCAGCCAUGCCGCGUGAGUGAAGAAGGCCUUCGGGUUGUAAAGCUCUUUUACCAGGGACGAUAAUGACGGUACCUGAGAAUAGCCCC
rnacentral:rRNA from 1 species